rnacentral:pre_miRNA from 1 species
AUACUACUCCCUACGUUCCAUAUUAAGUGACUCAAAUUUGUUCAAAUAUGGAUGUAUCUAUUUCUAAAAAGCGUCUAGAUACAUGUAAUAGAAAGUCACUUAAUAUGGGACGGAGGGAGUAGAAU